AACGAACGCUGGCGGCAUGCCUAACACAUGCAAGUCGAACGGAAAUGCUUAGCUUGCUUUGCAUUUUAGUGGCGGACGGGUGAGUAACGCGUGGGGGCCUGCCCUGGAGUGGGGAACAACGACGGGAAACUGUCGCUAAUACCGCAUACGCCCUGAGGGGGAAAGGCUUCGGCCGCUCUAGGAUGGACCCGCGUCGGAUUAGCUAGUUGGUAGGGUAACGGCCUACCAAGGCGACGAUCCGUAGCUGGUCUGAGAGGAUGAUCAGCCACACUGGGACUGAGACACGGCCCAGACUCCUACGGGAGGCAGCAGUGGGGAAUAUUGGACAAUGGGGGAAACCCUGAUCCAGCAAUGCCGCGUGUGUGAAGAAGGCCUUAGGGUUGUAAAAGGCUCUUUUCGGCCGGGAAGAAAUCGCAUGGGUUAAUACCCUGUGUGGAUGACGGUACCGGAAUAAGAAGCACCGGCUAACUACGUGCCAGCAGCCGCGGUAAU
rnacentral:rRNA from 1 species